rnacentral:misc_RNA from 1 species
UUUCCGUAGGUGAACCUGCGGAAGGAUCAUUAUUGAAUGAAACACUUCUGACUUUAUGCUGUUGUGCUGGCCCUUUGGGCAAUGUGCACACGGCUCUGGUCACUUGUUUCUUCUGUUCCACCUGUGCACUGCCUGUAGACACGCUGUGUCUAUGAUAUUUGUUAACACACAACAAUGUUAGUUGGCAUGUUAUAUAUAAUAAUAAAAUAUACAACUUUCAACAACGGAUCUCUUGGCUCUC